ensembl:lncRNA
CGGCUGUACUUUCUGUAACAACAGGAGGUGAGAUGUGUGUAGGCAGAAGCUGACAGUGCUGUCUCAAUAACAUCUUCCUACCAUCUCCCAAGGCCAAAACGACUCAUACAUGGCCCAGACAAACACCUUCUUGGUGGACUUCCCCACCAUGAGUGAGAAAUGCAGGUGUUUGGGGGCCACUGUCACCAUGAAACAUGAGGACCUACACACACCUCUUGUGGCAGCUGCAGAAAAGGCUGUGCUCAUCCUCACCUUAUGAAUGCCCACUUCCGUACAGUGGAAUUAUGGGACAAACAAAGGAUGAUCCGUGAUGGUGUUAUAUCCAUGAAGCCAAAGACUGUGUGUGUGUGUGCAUGCAAGGGAAUCGAGUUAUGAUAUUUCUAAAUGGGAGGUGCAAGAUCAUUCUUCCAUACACGUGCUUGAUCAUUUUCUCCUGCACUGCUGGCAGUGAGUGAUGCUGUACACCUCCUUCGGAGUCCCUGAAACUGCUGUUUGCUAAACACUGGGAAUUUUUAACUUCUUGGUAGUCAGAGAGCUACGCGAACCAUGGAGCCAACUGGAGUCUCACUAUUUAUGCUAUGUGCUGUCCUUCAAGUGUCUAAAAGAAAUACUUCUACAGAAGUAGUUGGCAGAUAUUUGUUUGUGACUCAGUCCUCUGGUUAAAAUUUGCUAAUGGGUGUGGAUAGCCUUGUCAUCCUGGAUGUUCCUGUCCCCCUGGCUCACCUUCACUACUGAAUAAUCUGCAGCCUUUCAUCUGUGCAGAAAGGAAGUGUUGUGAAAUCCCCUGUGCCAUCUCCAAGCUGGCUCCUAGGUUAAUGAAAAGAGGAGUGUCUCCAUGCUUCUGUGUGUUGAAGGAAUGACAUCAGCAUUAGAAGAGAUAGCGGAGUUGCCCUGGUAAUGGAUUUGCCUCAUAGAUCAUUACAUGUCACCAUGUCAUCAGAAAUCAUCUGUCAACAGCUAAGACUUUAGCAGCUCAUAUCUUACCUGCACUGGAGGAAACCCAAGGAAGACAGGAGUUUGUUAUGUUGUGUGAAGGGGAGCUGUCAUUAAUGAACUCCUUUUAAUUGUCCUGGGUGACUGAGAAGAUAACACCCUCACAGGGGAGUUGGAAAAGCAGGAUCUCAACGCUGUUUGCUGAAGAGGACAGAGCCAUUAUCCUCUCUUGGUAAUUCCACAUCCUUUCCUGGGUUGUGCGUUGCUUGAAGAUCCUCUUAUGGUACCCAGAAUAUUCUUAGUCAAAAUUAAGUUUUCACUUACUGGAAACACUGUGGUCUUGUAGAGGCUGAAGAAGAUCUUCUGAUAUUCUUAGGGAAUGAUAAAAGUUUCACUGAAGUUGCAUCUGGUUCUUGAAUAAACAAGAACUGGAAAGAAAGGCCAGGACUCUCAAAUUCACAGUAUAUCCAGGGAAACAAGAGCAUACAGAAUGACAAAAUAUUGCAAGAAAAAAAAGGAAAAAAGAAACGCAUCCAGACUUCACCCUAAAGAAGGAGAAAAUAGAAAUCUAGAUUUAAACAUACGGGAAGCUGCACGAAAAAAAAAGAGUUUUUGUCUUCUCUCUCUGUUUCAAGAAAGCAAUGAAAGUGCUAGAAGAGUUUGAAUAUGCCAUGUCCACUUUGAAGACAACAAAGAACUUUUCAUCCAAGAGAAGGUUCGGAACAUCUAGCCAUGAGACAAGGAAUCUUCUGGCUGGAGCUUUUUGUAAUCCAUGGGAUUAUUUUUUAUAUAAAAGGCAAGAGGUACCACUAGGAGCUGGCAUGGAUGUGGACUGCACAUAAAAAGAUCAGCAUCUGAUCAGCAUCAUGAAAUGGUAGCUGAUGAUUGGCAACAAACAAAAAACGGAGCUUCCCUGGAGGUGUACCAGUUCCAUGAGCCUCCUGCCAGCUGAGCAGCACUGAUGCCAACAGUGGAGAAUAACAUCUAGAAGAUCAAUGAGGAAGGAUAUUUUACAGAGGUGUUAAAGAAAAGGAUAUAAAAAGGAUACUGAAGGUAAAGAAGACAUCAAGACAAUUUUGUACCAGAGGUGAAGCAUCAUGAGCAAUUCCAUGUGGACCAACUGUACACUAAAAGAAAUGAGGAAAUAAAAGAGAACUGAGAGUACUAGCCAUGAAAUCAUGGAGUAGGAGGAGCAUUCAAUAAGAUGGAUGUGGAUAUGCCACACAACUCCAGUUCCAGAGACAUGGAUAGUUUUUGGAGUCUUCCUUCUCUGUGUGUAUGGCUGAAACUGCUAAAUACAAGAGACAAGAAACAGAGUUCAGUGAAGCAGUACUCAGCUUUGUGUGGUAAUAUGAGGGCCAUGCUGAAGGCAGAAGAGUCCUUGAUGGUUCCGGCUGUCUGGCUUUCUAGGGUAGAGCUGUGGGCAAUCAAUUAACUCCACCAGUCCGAAAAGCAGAAAUGCAUGCAAGCAGACAUCAAAUCCUGCUUACAAGCAAUGCAAACUGAAUACAGCAACUUUGGAGAUUAAUGUUCCUGGACCAGAAGGGACACCAGCAGUGUGUUACUAUCUGGCAGAUCUACAGCAUAGUACAUGGAGAUGCUACCAGCCCCACCCAAAAUUACAUGUUAUGUAACCAAGUGAGAUGCAUUAAGAUCAUCUCCAACAUCGCCAUCUCCUG